rnacentral:rRNA from 1 species
AUGCCGCCGCCGCCGCCGCACCCAAACGGGGGCAAAGUAACGCCGAACCUGGCCAUGGACGCCGAGGGCACGCGCCUGCUUAACCUCACCGUCCUGCAGCGCCUCGACCCCGCCGUCGAAGACAUCCUCAUCACCGCAGCGCACGUCACGCUCUACGACUUCAACAUCGACCUGAACCAGUGGAGCCGGAAGGACGUGGAGGGAUCGCUCUUCGUGGUGAAGAGGAACUCACAGCCGAGGUUCCAGUUCAUCGUCAUGAACAGGCGCAAUACGGAUAAUCUCGUGGAGGAUUUGUUGAGUGAUUUUGAAUAUGAACUCCAGCCUCCAUAUUUGUUGUAUCGGAAUGCCACACAGGAAGUAAAUGGCAUUUGGUUUUAUAACCAACAGGAGUGCGAAGCUGUUGCUAGUUUGUUUGGAAGGAUACUGAAUGCUUACGCGAAAGUGCCCCCAAAGCCGAAAGUGCCAUCUAUAAAAAGUGAGUUUGAGGAAUUAGAGGCUGUUCCUACAUCCUCUGCCAUAGAUGGUCCAUCAUCUACCGCUGUAGUUUCUGAUACCCCUGAUGAAUCGUUUGCCAGUUAUUUUAGUGGUGUUGCUAACGUUGGGAAUGUACCAACUGCACCAAAGACUGGAAGAGCUCACCCACCUGCUGAGUCUGUUGCAUCAUCCCACGUACCAAUGAUCAUUUCAUCUGCUGCUCCAACACAUCAGAUGAGUGCUUCAUCAGCUCCACCACUGCCCCUCCACACUAAUCCACAUGCUGGCCGCUCGACAGACCUUGUAACUCCUGCAUUCUUUGUGCCUCCGUCAUCCUCUUCCACAUCUUUGGUGCAACCGGUUUCAUCCUUGAUGCCUACAGCGCCACCUCUUCAUCCAACUUCCACAUCCAGCCAACGUCCACCAUAUGGUACCCCACUUCUUCAACCCUUUCCACCACCAACUCCGCCUGCAUCCCUUACCCCUGCACACAAUGAUGGACCUGUUAUUUCGAGGGAUAAAGUUAAGGAUGCCCUCCUGAGACUUGUUCAGAGUGACGAGUUCAUCGAUUUAAUCUACCGGGAGUUGCUGAAUGCUAGCUAG